rnacentral:rRNA from 1 species
UACGUAGGGGGCAAGCGUUGUCCGGAUUUAUUGGGCGUAAAGAGCGUGUAGGCGGCCAGGUAGGUCCGUUGUGAAAACUCGAGGCUCAACCUCGAGACGCCGAUGGAAACCAUCUGGCUAGAGUCCGGAAGAGGAGAGUGGAAUUCCCGGUGUAGCGGUGAAAUGCGCAGAUAUCGGGAGGAACACCCGUGGCUAAGGCGGCUCUCUAGUACGGUACUGACGCUGAGACGCGAACGCGUGGGGAGCGAACAGG